AAGGCAAAGAACAUUAAUUCUCAGAAAUUGCCAUUCAUCAAAAUGACAAUGUCUUGAGGGCCUUGAAGACCUCUUUCAUGUAGGGAUAGGGGAAUUUUUUUUGAAGGAUUAGGUAACCUCUAAUGUGAUUGGUAUGGGGCAAAGCAGUAACAGUCGAAUUUUGAUUGGCUACUAUGUUAGUUUCAUUAUAUUUGGUGAGAACUUGGAGAAUUUUGGAAUCCAGCUCAGUUCUGGCCUUGUUAUCUCCUAUAUCUAGGUGUUCCAGAAGCUGGGCCAUCACUGAUCAAUGACCCAUUGUCAGUGGCUUCUUCUGAGGAGCCCAUAUUGCUUCCAAGGGAAUUGAAAUUUUUUUAUUCUCAAGUUCUUGGGACCUUUUAUAGGGAGCUCUAGAUUCGUUGAGAGAUCCAGUUUCUGAAAAUAUGAAAAUGAGAUAAGAUGACAUUCAAUGUUGACCUUCACAUGUUUUCUCUCUCUCUCUCUCUCUCUCUCUCUCUCUCUCUCUCUCUCUCUCUCUCUCUCUCUCUCUCUCUCUCUCUGUGAGAGAGAGAGAGAGAGAGAGAUGAGAGACAGACACACACACACACACACAGAGAGAGAGAGAGAGAGCCUGACUAACACAGAGCAUAUGUUGGUACUAGAAUGAAUGAAGGGUGCUGUGACUUCUUUGGAUGACUCUGAGCAGCCACUGGAAGGGUGGUCCUCACCUGUUACUCAAAAUGCAGAUCUGCUGUUAGAAUUUGCCAACAAGUACUUACUGACAGGAGCCUGAUAGAGCUCUCUCUUGAGAGGCUCUGCCAGUACCUGACAAAGACAGAAGUGGAUGCUCACAGCCAUUCAUUGGAAUGAGCAUAGGGUCCCCAUUGAAGGAGCUAGAGAAAGGACCUAAGGAGCUGAAGGGGUUUGCAGCUGCAUAGGAGGAACAAUUCCCAGGGACUAAACCACCAACUGAAGAGCAAACAUGGUGGGGCUCAUGGCUCCAGCUGCAUAUGUAACAAAGGCUGACCUAGUCGAAUAUCAAUGGGCGUAGGGGGCCAGCCCUUUGUCCUAUGAAGGCUCUGUACUCAGUGUGGGGUAAUGCCAGGGCCAGGAAGAGGGUAUGGGUGGGUUGGGGAGCAGGGGAAGGGAGAGGGGCUAGGAGGAGGAUGUUUUUAGGAGGGGAAAUCAAGAAAGAGGAUAACAUUUGAAAUGUAAAUAAAGAAAAUAUCC
rnacentral:lncRNA from 1 species